ACAUUCUAUUUUUAAAACAUUUGAUUGGAAAUAUUCUUUUAUCAGUAAAGAUCCAGUCCACAAGCACUGAUAACUCACUUGGCUCUAAACUACAGACCCAAAAUGUAUAAACUCGGCUAUUAUUACUAGAGCCACUAAUCCUUAUAUUUUCACUCAUAAUCCAUUUCUUAUUUGAUAUGAGACAAUUUGGAUGGUACAGACUCUCCCAGUUUAAACUCUUCAUAAUCUAUUUUCUAUCCGAAGAGGGUCUAUUACAAACUCUCCCCAUUUCGAUUCUAACAUCCUUGUCCUCAACACCCUAGCCCAGAUCACCAUGCAAUAUGAUAGGAAUCUCAUACUUUCGGCUAAUAAACAGGCCUGCCACCAAAUAUAUAUAACGAUCCGACACACUGACACUAAUAACUUACGGUUUUGACCUAGUUAUUAGUAUUAAAGCCUCUAGUCCUUAAUAGUCUCAUUGGCAAUUCUUUUUUCAUCCGAUUUGUAAAAGUAUUAAAGCCUCUAGUCCUUAAUAGUCUCAUUGGCAAUUCUUUUUUCAUCCGAUUUGUAACUAUUAGAGGAUCAUAAACUUCCCCCUUUAGAUCCUAAUAUCCUUACCAAUUUCUUAACCCAAGAUCACCAAACAAUGUAAGAUUUAUCUCACACUUUCAACUAGCAAAUAAACUCUUAUACCAAAUGUAAUGAUCUAGCCUUUUGCUGGAUCGUUGGCGCUAACCAUUAGUUCUAAAAGCUUUAGCUAAUAGUAAGAUACAACCAAUGCACUUGAAGUUUGUAUACACAGCAACCACCGAUUUCUAUUUAUGAUUCAGCGCAAUGCAGUCUCCCGCCACUUUGAACAUGAAUCUGUCCAACCUGACAUCACAUCAUUUCAAAUAUGACUCAGUCUAAUUAUCUGGGCUGCCGCUAUACGGCAGGAUGUAGGCCCCUUUAAACAAACAAUGUAGCUCACUAGCAAUUAUAACUUGUUCAGCUCGCAUCACCGACUUAAAAUUCUUAAGCCUAAUUACUAUUACUAGAGUCUCGGGUCCUUAUAUUUUCAAUUAUAAUCUCUUCCCUAUCUGAUACGGAAUUAUUGGAUGUUACAUUAUCUAUAAGGAAUUAGAAAUUCAUCUUAUAGUCAAUUUCGAUGUGUUUGAGAUGUUCUUUCUUGAUAAUGUAAUCUAUCCAACUAGUCAUAAAAUAAAUUGCACGAGUCCUAAAAAGUAUCGCUCUAACAUGGAUAGGAAAUCUGAUUUUGUUUCAUCUCGACAGGAGGAGGACUCUGGGCCUCAGAAAUACAACUACUCCUUGUAAUCUAUUUAAUUCAUAAGGAACAAAGUUUUUUUAUUUGAGAGAUAGGUAGCACGCUACCCACUUCGUUUAUUUCAUUUAGAAAUAAACUUAGCUGAAAAUGUGAAUCAACUAGGAUUCGAACUCGGCCCAACCAGCCUUAUGCCACUUCGAACAUGACUUAGCCCACCCAGUCUCAUGCCACUUUGAAUAUGACUUGACUCAAUAUCGCCUUCCGCCACAGGGCAGAAUGCUGGCCCAUUUAGGCCAACAAAGAUAACAUGCAAAUUGAAUUAUUUACUAUUCCGUCGCCGUAAAACAAUAUCGGCUUUUAAAGGCAACAUGACAACCGAAUUAGCUACCACUGCAAUCUCUCCUAAAAAUUCUUACACUAAGGGCGUGUUUGGUUCUAAGUUGGAGUCGGAAUCGGAAUCGGAAUCAAAAUAAGCUGGAAUCGGAAUCGGAAUGACUCAUUACCUAAUUCUGUUUAAUUCAUCACCUGAAUCGGAAUCGGAAUAAAUCAUUCCCAUUGUCGGUGUUUGGUUCAGGUGGAUAUAGAAAACAUAAUCAAAUUAAUAUACUAAUAUUAUCUUUAUAAUAUAUUAAUUUAAAUUCAAAUUAAAUAUUAAAUAUUAAAAAUUUACAUCAAAAUUUUGAAAUAAUGUCAAAAUUUUAAAUCUAUUUUUUUUAAAAAAAUUAAACUUUGAAGUUGAGUGGAUAAUUCAAAAUGUUAAACUAAAUUUUGAUUUGUUCAAAUUCAAACUAAAAUUACAAUUUAAAUUUUAAUUUGAAUCUAUAAAUUUAAUUUAAGUUUGAAAUAAAAUUUGAAUAAAACCUUAUAUAAAUUAAAAUUUAAUUUAAAUUCAAAUUUAUAAGUUAGAUUCGAAAUACUUGAUUAAAUUUUAAAUUUUAAUUUAAGUUCAAAUUAAAAUUUAAAAUUAUAUAUUUAAUUUUUAAAUUUUAACUCAUAUUUUAAUUAAAAAAAGUUGAAAAAAUAAAUUUAAUCCGAAUAAAUAUCCAUUCCGUCCGGAUUCAACUUCCAAUCCGGCAUCCUAGGCCGGAUUGAAAAAUGAGGUGAUUGGGGGAUUCCCAUUCCACUCGGGAAUGGGAAUCGGAAUGAGACUCCCGCGUACCAAACACUCACAAACGGAUUAACCCAUUCCGAUUCCGAUUUCGAUUCCAGGGUGAAAAAGAAGCUAACCAAACACGCCCUAAGUUUGAUGAAGUGACAAAUUAAAAAAAAAAAAUGAAGUUUGAUUUAUUAAUUAAGUGAAAUAUAUAAAUU
rnacentral:lncRNA from 1 species